ACCCCGAACAGGGGAGUGAAAUAGAACCUGAAACCAUACGCUUACAACCGGUCGGAGCAGCUUCGUGCUGUGACGGCGUGCCUAUUGAAUAAUGAGCCUACGAGUUACUAAUCACUAGCGAGGUUAAGUGCAAGGAUGCACGGAGCCGAAGCGAAAGCGAGUCUGAACAGGGCGUUUAGUUAGUGGUUGUAGACGCGAAACCUUGCGAUCUACCCUUGAGCAGGUUGAAGGUUGGGUAAAACCAACUGGAGGACCGAACGAAUAAGCGUUGAAAAGCUUCUCGAUGACUUGAGGGUAGGGGUGAAAGGCUAAUCAAGCUGGGAAAUAGCUCGUACUCCCCGAAAUGCCUUUUGGGGCAGCGUUGUAAUAAAGAGUCUACUGGAGGUAGAGCUACUGAUUGGAUGCGGGGGCUUCACCGCCUACCAAAUCCUGACAAACUCCGAAUGCCAGUAGUAUGAUUUACAGCAGUGAGUGACUGGGUGCUAAUGUCCAGUCGCAAAAGAGGAACAACUCAGACCAGCAACUAAGGUCCCGAAGAAUAUGCUAAGUUGAUCUAACGAUGUUUUGUUGCAGAGACAGCUAGGAUGUUAGCUUGGAAGCAGCUAUUCAUUCAAAGAGUGCGUAACAGCUCACUAGUCGAGCGACAGAGCGUGGAUAAUAAACGGGCAUCAAGCAUAUCACCGAAGUUCUGGGCGCGAGAGCGCGGUAGGGGAGCAUUCCAUUCAGCGUCGAAGCAGUUUCGUGAGGAAUUGUGGAGCGUAUGGAAAAGCAAAUGUAGGCAUGAGUAACGAUAAUGCGGGAGAGUAACCCGCACACCGCAAGACCAAGGUUUCCUGAUCAACGCUAAUCGGAUCAGGGUUAGUCGGGUCCUAAGGGUAAGCCGAACGGUGAUCUCGAUGGAUAAUCGGUUAAUAUUCCGAUACUGACAUAUACCUCGAUGGAGAGACGAAGGAACGUAAGUGCCGCCGCCUGACGGAAUAGGUGGUUAAAGGGCGUAGGUAUAGGGACAGAUUAAGAGUUAGUCCUUGCUGAACCCCGACAGUACAGAGAGCCUACGGGCAAUUUGAUAGUGCACCCAAGUCGACUUCCGAGAAAAUCUUCUAAGUUAUAGUAUAUGUCACCCGUACCGUAAACCGACACAGGUGGUCGAGGAGAGUAUCCUAAGGUGCUCGAGUGAAUCACGGUUAAGGAACUAGGCAAAUUAACCCCGUAACUUCGGGAAAAGGGGUCCCUAUGAAAGUAGGGCGCAGCGAAGAGGUCCAGGCGACUGUUUAUCAAAAACACAGGGCUCUGCAAAUUCGAAAGAAGACGUAUAGGGCCUGACACCUGCCCGGUGCUGGAAGGUUAAGAGGGGAUGUCAUCGCAAGAGAAGCAUUGAAUCGAAGCCCCAGUAAACGGCGGCCGUAACUAUAACGGUCCUAAGGUAGCGAAAUUCCUUGUCGGGUAAGUUCCGACCUGCACGAAUGGUGUAACGAUCUGGACACUGUCUCAACCGUGAGCUCGGUGAAAUUGUAGUCCCGGUGAUGAUGCCGGGUACCCGCAACGGGACGAAAAGACCCCGUGAACCUUUACUAUAGCUUAACGCUGAAUUUGGGUACACAAUGUGUAGGAUAGGCCGGAGGCUUUGAAGCGGGCACGCCAGUGUUCGUGGAGCCGACGUUGAAAUACGGCCCUUUGUGUAUUUGAGUUCUAACCCUGCGAAGGGGACACCGUUUGGUGGGUAGUUUGACUGGGGUGGUCGCCUCCAAAAGCGUAACGGAGGCUUCCCAAGGUACCCUCAGCACGAAUGGUAACCGUGCGCAGAGUGCAAUAGCAUAAGGGUGCUUGACUGUGAGACCAACAAGUCGAUCAGGUGCGAAAGCAGGGUAUAGUGAUCCGGUGGUUCUGCGUGGACUGGCCAUCGCUCAAAGGAUAAAAGGUACUCCGGGGAUAACAGGCUGAUCGCCGCCAAGAGCUCAUAUCGACGCGGCGGUUUGGCACCUCGAUGUCGGCUCGUCACAUCCUGGGGCUGGAGAAGGUCCCAAGGGUUCGGCUGUUCGCCGAUUAAAGUGGCACGCGAGCUGGGUUCAGAACGUCGUGAGACAGUUCGGUCUCUAUCUGUUGCGGGCGUAGGAAGAUUGAGGGGUCCUGACUUUAGUACGAGAGGACCGAGUUGGACGAACCUCCGGUGUAUCGGUUAUGCUGCCAAGUGUACUGCCGAGUAGCCGCGUUCGGUCUGGAUAAGCGCUGAAAGCAUCUAAGCGCGAAGCCAUCCCCAAGAUAAGUCUUCCCUUGA
rnacentral:rRNA from 1 species